GCUGAGGAAGGUUGCCCAACCUUAUUCAGGCAGGAAGUGUGAAAAGAUUUAAGAAGCUUGGGUCACAUGGUAUACAAUAUGACCAGUGAAGCCCAUGUUCAUGGACCCACUCAUGCAUCCUCCAGUGGUCCUCCAAGCAGACACCAAGAAGAACAUUCGAUGCGCAGAGGAUGUACUGGGAGAAACUCAUAUGAAGGUCAUCAUGAUAUGGAUGUCCAUCUCAAUCAGUAUCCGUUGUGGCCUGCUGCUCUCCGAAAUAAGCUGACCUGUGUGAAAUCUAUCUUAACUAGCCACCCUCUGUCGAACUGCCAGUAGCAGAUGUUUUCAUCCUCUAGCCCCUCCAUCACACUGAGUAGGCUGUACCUUGGAAUUUCAGGUGGUGGAAAGCAGUAAGAGUUUGAAGAAAUCCUCAGUGCACAAAGAUCAGAGGGAAUUUUUCAACCAAUGAAAGGAUCACAAUGAAACCACCUUCAGCUAAAAUUAUACUUAAUUUUAAAAGGCCAUUAAGAUGAGGAAUAAGGUAAACAAACAGUGUUAUAGGACCACAGAAGUGAGGCUGUAUCUAAUUUAUAUUCUAAGUGAUAAGCAGAAAUGUCUGAUUCUGAAGAGGAUGCACAGUACUCGAGACUAAACAUCUUGAUGAGAAUACAGGAUUACCUAAAACAUUACACCAUAAAACACCAUGGUAUUACUACAGCUCAGUUUGAGACACUGCCAGAAGCCUACUCUCAAAGAAGCUUACAGGAAUAUGGAAAAUGUGAAAGGCAUGGGGGUGAGUAA